rnacentral:rRNA from 1 species
UGGCUCAGGAUGAACGCUAGCGGCAGGCUUAACACAUGCAAGUCGCGGGGCAGCGCGGGUAGCAAUACCUGGCGGCGACCGGCGGAAGGGUGCGUAACGCGUGAGCAACAUGCCCGUAUCAGGGGGAUAACCGAUGGAAACGUCGCCUAAUACCCCAUAACAACGAGGGCCGCAUGGCCCAUGUUUGAAAGUUACGGCGGAUACGGAUUGGCUCGCGUGACAUUAGCUAGUUGGCGGGGUAACGGCCCACCAAGGCAACGAUGUCUAGGGGUUCUGAGAGGAAGGUCCCCCACACUGGAACUGAGACACGGUCCAGACUCCUACGGGAGGCAGCAGUGAGGAAUAUUGGUCAAUGGGCGCAAGCCUGAACCAGCCAUGCCGCGUGCAGGAAUGAGGCCCUAUGGGUCGUAAACUGCUUUUGCUGCGGAGCAAUAAGGUGUACGUGUGCACCGAUGAGAGUACGCAGCGAAUAAGCAUCGGCUAACUCCGUGCC